rnacentral:rRNA from 1 species
UAAACGACUCUCGGCAACGGAUAUCUCGGCUCUCGCAUCGAUGAAGAACGUAGCGAAAUGCGAUACUUGGUGUGAAUUGCAGAAUCCCGUGAACCAUCGAGUCUUUGAACGCAAGUUGCGCCCGAAGCCUUCUGGUUUAGGGCACGUCUGCCUGGGCGUCACGC